UACACAAGCCCAACCAGGAGUCAGCCUGGCUUCAGCCUGGAUCUGCAGCACAUGCAAAGUUCAAGGCCAUUGUUACUGCUCCGCUCCUGCUGAAAGAUAUACCCCAACUGUCCCCUGCCACGCAGACAUAUGGCCUUGAAAGUUUCCAUAGCGUGCUCAACAACUUCGCACCAAAGUCAACGGCAUUUUCCCCUGAAGGAAUGUUGGAGCGAACGUCCCUCGCCAUUCUCCACUUCAAUGAAAAUUCCUGCCGGAAACAAGCACAGACUGCUGAAGAGCGUUGGAAACUCAAGGUG